rnacentral:lncRNA from 1 species
AGCAUGAGAAAAACGGAGGGAGGAAGUUAUCAAAGGUAUAGCAGAGGAGAAUUUCUCCAGAAAAAUGAACGGUAAUAAUAAUAACCCCACUAGAUGCAUCACUGUGAAUUUCAGAGCAUCGAGGAUUAAAAAGGAGAUCCUAAGAGAUUUUUGAGAAACAAAAUACAUGUCACCCACAGAGGAGCGAGAACGAAACUGUCAGCUGACUUCCCAUCAGCAGCUCGAGAUGCUGGAGGGCAGCAGAGCGGGGCCUCCAGACGCUGGCAGAAGUUAUUUCUGCCGAGAAUUUAUCGCUGACCAAACUGCCCAUCAGGUGUGAGGGUGGAGAAAGAUGUUUUUAGGCUUGGAAAGACUCAGAAGAGGUCCUGCCCACACGCCUUUUCUUGGGACGCUCCUUGAGGACGUGCUUCAGGAAAAUGAGGAGAUAAACCAAGAAAGAAGAAGACGUGGGUCCCUGAAGCAGUCUCUCCAGCUCAUGGGGACAGUGACAGGAAAUCCAAGGCUACCAUGGAUUAAUUUUGUUUUUCUUGUAAGAAGCAGGAGGAAUGGUAACAAUUAAACCCAAUCUCACCACAAAAAACAGCAUUCCAAGGGAAUUUCACAUUCUACAAGAAAAAAAAAGCCAUCAGUGGAACUUGGGUUGACUUCGCUCCAUGGCAUGAACACCCUCGGCUCCUGGUGCUGCUGACGGAGUCGCUCCCCGUGUGAGCAGGACGCCCGCCCACCUUGGGGAGCACCUCUGCAGGUUUAGAGAGGAUGAGAAUGUUACAGAUCUGGGCGCCUCUUCCAGGGGUCAGGGCUCCCCAAGCCUCCUCAUGGUCCUGACUCGGGGUGCAGAGCAUCCUGCAUCAUGUUGGUUUCAUUUUCUGGGGACUCCCCCAACCCCAACCACAUGAAGGCAGACAGGAAGGAAAGGGGGGGCUUCUCCUCCUUCAGUUCUCCUCGCCCCCCACCCAUGCUGCCCACGUCGCGCAGUCUCCAAGUGUUUCUGGAGUGACCGUUCCGCCACACCAGAAGCCAGCAGGAGCCCAUUUUUCUUGGACACUCAGAGUCCAGCUGCGAGGGCGUGGAUAGAUGUGUUUAUGCUGCAGCUGCCAGCAAGAACACAAUGUUGAAACAUCCCUAACAAUGCAACUAAAAUGGAGAUAGAUCAUCUUACUCUUUUAAGUGGCAACAUAAAUAUCAGCGUCAAGUUUCUGGAUGGAGGCCUCUCCAUUUGUUAAGAUGUAUUUGCAGCUGUUUAUUAGGAUACUACUUAAAUCAUUCUUUCUAUUUGGCUUUUCUUAAAUGUAAUACACAAAUAUCUUCGUUCUCACACUGCUUAAGUGUGUUUCAUGGAAAUUUUGAUGACAGUGCAUUAGUUUCUACUGUUGCUCUAAUAUAUUAUCAAAAUGUAGUGGCUUAAAACAGCACAAAGGUCCCAACCAUCACCCAGUUCUGGAGGUCAGACGUCCGUCCGGCGUCAAUGUCAGUGGCCUAAAUGAGGGGUCAGCAGGCUGCCUUCCUCCUGGAGGAUCUGUUUCCUGCCUUUUCCAGUCUCCAGAGGCACCAUGUUCCUUGGCUCAUGCCUCUCCCUCCAUCCUCAAAGCCAGCAGCGUACCAUCUCUGGCCUCUGCCUCCAUCAUCACGUCUUGUCUCUCUGGCUCUGACUCUCCCUCCUCCUUCUUAUAAUGAUGACCCUGGGCCCCCCAGACGAUCCAGGAUCAUCCCCCCAUCCAGAUCCUUAGUUCAGUCCCGUCGGCCACGUCCCUUUUACCCUGUAAGGUAACACAGUCCCAGGUCCCAGGGAUCAGGGUGUGGACACCUCUGCGGGCUGUUACUCAGCCUAUUACAACCAGAUUUUGUGCGAGUUUGCAGCAAACCUCUCCAGUUAAACAGAAAAGUAUUUGAAGAUGAAAAAAACACAAAGACUAGCAGAGGGGACCCUGGAAACAACAGCCAAAGGAGCUGGAGGUGGCAUCUCAGUGGGCCGGCGCCGGAGCGGGAGGCGGGGGCAACGGGAGCGUCUUUUCUCUGUAAGCCCUACAGAUUCCUUUGUGGUUGUGUUUUCGUUUUACGAGUAAGCGCAGUUGUUAUUUAAUAACACCUCUAAGGAGGAGGGGAGGAAGAGAAGCAGCACCACGCCAGGUUCCCUGUGCUGGGAUGCGGGACGCAGGCAGUGGGUACAGGAGAUGCAUCCACACCUAAUGCCCUGUGACACAGGUGAUCAUGCGGUGGAGGAGGCUGAACCACCGGCCAGGAGAACCCGGGGGGACAAGGGGCAGGAGAGGGGGGCUCUCUGGGCCAGCGGCCUUUCAUCUGAGGGCACAGAAGUACAGAACACUUUCCCAGGGGCACAGGUAGGAACCAGGUGCCAGAGCUCCAACUUUCACAUUCUGGAGAAGACUAGAGUGGUCCCUGCCCCUGUCCCCAGCGUCUCUGGCCGGCCUGCAUGCGUGCCCACUAAGAGCGAACCUGGCUGUGGACCACGCGUGGUCUGAGCUCCCGAGGUGCCGAGGGAGGUGGUGGGAGGGCCCAGGAUGCUCUGGGCCAGGGAGCCAGACCCCGGGGGAGCCCGAGUCACGGCAAAGAGAGGGCAGCACACACACUAACUGCACACGCAGAGGGGGCACCUUCUCAGCUGUUCCCGGCGCCCCUCCAAGGGUGUGGCUCAGGCCAGGAGGAAAAGCGCGACGGCCCAGCUGGCCAGAGGCUCUGCUGCCCGCAGGUGCGGGGCGACAUCUCCUGCAUGGCCACCUCUUCAAGCCGUCCUGGACAGAGUCAUGUUUUCUACACCCUGCCAGCAAAACGAACCUGCCCUCCCUCUCGCCCCGGGUUCCGGACCAGCAAAGUCCUUUCUAUUCACUCAAUACACAGGGAAGUUUGACCUUAGUGGUGAAUGGACUCCGCCAUGUUGUACCUGAUCCAUACUUGCUUCUUAUUUAACAAUUCCCCAAGGCUGAACUCCGGAGGUCAGUUCACUCACAACACGCACACACAAACACACACUCAUUCGUGCAUGCACUCACACACGCUCACACGCAUGUAUCCACACACUCACACUCACCAGGGAACACGGGCCUUCCACCGCUCCCUGCUCUCACAAAGAGCUCGCCCUUUUAGCUCCGCACGCAGCGCACUGCCGACAGCCGAGCGCGGGCACAGGGCGUGUGGCCUGAGCCGGCGCUGCCAGUUUGUCUCGAAGGCAGGCGUCCCACACAGGAUCUCCCUGGUUUCCAUCUCGGCAGCGGCUGGGGUCUCCUACGGCACAGGAUCCGCGUUUACACCACGGCUUCCGUCAGCUUCUUUUGAGAUCGUAUUAGCACGUGUCCAGGAACCGAGCAACGGAACCCGGCUGUUUGACAGAACGUGUGCUUGGUUGACCGGUGUGACGGGAGAGACGGCUGCCUGGCGGGAGUUCUGCUCUCAUGGGGCACACCACAGCUGCAGAUCCACGUUCUUUGACAAAAACACAUUUGCAGCACAUAAGAAGCAGAGAAACUCAACAGAGAAAUGUGUCAUGAAGUGAACGAGACUUCUGAAAUGCCCCCACCCUUUUGUGAAGAGGAGGUUACACUGGUGGCCUCUAAAUGCAAGAGUGAUCUGGAAAAACCAGUGGCCACCCCAGAGUCGCGGUAAAGCCUUGUGGUCAGCUUCCCAGGAAUUAAGAAGACAGGGAGGUCCGCGGCCACUGAAGGGUCCUUCUGUCAGUCAGGAGGUCCCCGGGGCACCAACAAGGAAGCAGGGCCUGACCCGGGUGGCACCCGGCAGAGCCUCGAUCGCCUGUCCUGUGACUUUGGGCACUUAUCUAGGAAAGAAUUCAGACAUUUAAGUUUUCAAUUUUUCACUGCUACAAAGCCCUUCCCUCCUCGUGCGUAAAACGAAAGACAGGAGCAGAAUCGACGCUGAGCUCUGCGUCCUUCUAGCAACCAGAAAGCUCGUCCUCGGAAUCACGACCGGCCGGCCCGGUGAGAGAAACGGCCUCACCCGCCCACCGGGUCAGGAGACGCUUCCCCAGACAAUCAGACGCUCACGUGCAGGAACGACCUAUCUAACGAUAACAUGUCGGGUGUCUUCAUCAGACAUGUAUUAAUUAUUGUCACACCCACAAUACAGAAAAGAACUGUUAGCGCUGAAAAUGUCAUGGUCACAGCAAACAAAAGAGACUUUGGUUUUCCAUUGAUAGAGAAGUUUUGCUGCAGAAAAGUAAGAAGGUGGUGAGGAAAAGACCUUCAAACAUAAAAAUCCGUGAGGAGGAACUUCCUCAGGAUGACGUGAAUGAAAAUGAAACCUUAAGAGAAAAAAGGGAAGAUACAAAAUUUCCAUCUAUUAUAGAAGAGGUUGCUGCUGUAUGUUUCAAACGGGUGAUGGUGGGUGUCAAAUGGAUACAGAACUUGAAUACACUUCAGAGAAUGACUUCAGUUAUUUUUUAUGUUGAUUUUUAUAAUAUGUCAGAAUUAUAUCCUUUGCAACUACUUAAACUUAUGAUGAGAAAUUUGCAAGAGUGAAUUUACACGUGCGGCGGCCAGACCAUAAGUACAGCGAGGGCUCUGACCGCCCGCCUCCAGGAAUCGGGCUGGGGAAGUCACGCUGGUGGGAAGCCAGUCUGCCGUCUCUCAUGACUGUCCAGCCCUCAUAACAAUUGGCCCCGAGUGGCCAGGACUCCAUCCAUAUCUGCCAGCUUCCCCGCAUUUUGUUCCCGCUUCUAACUCAGGACCAGGCAGGGGAGCCAGACAUGCUCCCUAACCAGUCACACAGGACGCCCCACUCCUAGCCCUCGCCCACAGCUUCCCUGGGCCCCGGGCCCACCAGAGCCCACCUGAAUCUCCUUUUCCCCCACCAGGCUGUCCCCCUGUGCCGGCCUGUGAGCCCCCGUGAGGACAGUGAGGGUGGCCGAGCCUGCCGUGAUGGCAAACUGAAUAAAUAGCCUUUGAUUUGGGUGGUCUUUGUUUCCUUCCACAGUUGUUCACUUAAACGUGUGCUGGGGCCACGGGGCUUCUCAGAAUUUGCUUAGGGGCGUGGGAACCACAGUGCGGCGAGACCACUGGCCUGGGAAAGACAGCGAGGGGCCGUGCAGGCUGAGGAAGGGCUGGUGGGGACAGUGGGGACGGGGCACCAGAGACGGGGCCAGGUGAGCGGUAGCCACAUGGACAUGCUGGGCGGCUUCAGCCCCAAACUGCAUCCUGUGGGCAGAUGGGGCUGCAGAAGGGCUCAUGGGGAGGUGACACGAUCAGGUACCUGCAGCAGCAUGGGGGCCGGACGGGACCUGGAGACACAGGAGGUAGCAGCCCGCUGAGCCGGGGUGACGUUUACCCCUCACCCCGCAGCCUCCAGGCUUAUCCUGGAGGCCUGAGGCCAGUCUCCCGCCCCAGGGAAGCCCGAGAGAACAUUUCUCCAUAUCCUGCCUUGCCCCCUGGCGGCUCCUCCCGGCCGAGCUGAGGCGCCCUGCCAUCCUCGGAAUAACCUCUAGUGUAUCUUUACCACCAACCCCCAGGGGGUCUCUGGGAGCUCUGUCCCACCAUCGUUCAGCACCUCAUCUGUUUCACAGCCUCUGCCAGGUGACACAUUGGUAUCCUCUCUCAAGAUAAAUCUAGCCUCUCGAAUUCUACCAUUAGUUAUUCUUUCCUUUGGGCUUGUUGUAUUAGUCAGUGUUUGCAGCAGCAACAAACAGCCCCAGUAUCUCAGAGGCUUCCCAGGUUAACGGUGUGCUCCCAGCUUAUGUUAUAUUACGUGAGGACUGUGAGUCCCUUAUGGUUCUGCUGGGCUUGGCUGGACCCAGAGGGCUUGGCCGGCUCCGUGCGACCUCUCAUUCCAGGACCAUCUGGGCGUCGUUCUCACAGUGGACGGCCAGAGCAGGAAGGGAGAACCAAACACAGUGAUGUUUUGGCUGGGAUGUAGCUAUCUCCCACUGGCCAAAGCAAGUCGCUGGCUCGAGCUCAGCAGCAGUGGGUUCAGGGAACAUGGCCGGGCAGGGGCAAGGGACACGCUGCCCCUGCUGUGCCCACCCCUCCUCCUGCCAUGUCCAUCUUCUCUCAAAUCAUGUCCACGUCCCUCCCAACUGAGCAUGGAUCAAUGGUGUGGGUCAUUC